GACGAACGCUGGCGGCAGGCUUAACACAUGCAAGUCGAACGCCCCGCAAGGGGAGUGGCGCACGGGUGAGUAACGCGUGGAUAUCUGCCUUUUGGUUCGGAAUAACCCCGGGAAACUGGGGCUAAUACCGGAUGGUUCCUACGGGAUAAAGAUUUAUCGCCAAAAGAUGAGUCCGCGUACGAUUAGCUAGUUGGUGAGGUAAUGGCUCACCAAGGCGACGAUCGUUAGCUGGUCUGAGAGGACGAUCAGCCACACUGGGACUGAGACACGGCCCAGACUCCUACGGGAGGCAGCAGUGGGGAAUAUUGGACAAUGGGGGCAACCCUGAUCCAGCCAUGCCGCGUGAGUGAUGAAGGCCUUCGGGUUGUAAAGCUCUUUUGGCGGGGACGAUGAUGACGGUACCCGCAGAAUAAGCCCCGGCUAACUUCGUG
rnacentral:rRNA from 1 species